CUUCAAUCGCGCCGCUUCUGGUAUAGCUCCAGUUGCCGAUGCUAGUAGUUCACAGUCCAGAGCUGAUUUAUUGACACUUGGAUUGGCUGUGACCAAUAUAUUAACGGGCCUGGUAUGGCUCACAAUAAGGCCAAAGUCAAUAUCUCCGGUAAAUCCUCAAGGUGUAGAGUGUCGAAUUAUAUCUUCCUCCCUCCCUGACGUUGUGGUUUCUGAGUUAUUAUGGGUAUGGGAAUCCC
rnacentral:misc_RNA from 1 species